CGCGUGGGGGGGGAGGUGCUUCCGGCCCUCCGUCCCCCUCCGCCGCCGCGGCCCCCCCUCGCCCAGCGGAGCGGCAAGAUGGCGGCGGGCGGCGGCGCGGGGGCCGCGGCGGAGCCGGGCUGGGAGGUGGCCGUGCGGCCGCUGCUCUCCGCCUCCUACUCGGCCUUCGAGAUGAAGGAGCUCCCGCAGCUGCUCUCCUCGGUUAUCGAGAGUGAAUCUGAAAUCCUGCACCACGACAAACAAUAUGAGCCUUUUUACUCUUCCUUCGUUGCACUUUCUACACAUUACAUCACUACUGUGUGUGGUCUAAUACCAAGAAACCAAUUGCAAUCAGUGGCAGCUGCUUGUAAAGUCCUGAUUGAAUUCUCACUGCUGCGCCUAGAGAACCCAGAUGAAGCAUGUGCUGUUUCGCAGAAACAUCUCAUUCUACUGAUAAAGGGGCUGUGCACGGGCUGCAGCCGCCUAGAUCGAACUGAAAUUAUUACCUUCACAGCAAUGAUGAAAUCGGCCAAGCUGCCUCAGACUGUCAAAACCCUCUCUGAUGUAGAGGACCAGAAGGAGCUGGCCUCCCCGGUGAGCCCAGAACUAAGACAGAAAGAAGUGCAGAUGAACUUCCUCAAUCAGUUGACAUCAGUCUUUAACCCUAGAGUCUCCUCAUCACCGUCUGUCACACCAGAGACGCAGGUGGAAGGAGAGAGUGAGGAUCAAGCUUCCACAGAUCAAACCUCUGCGGCAAAGACAAAAAGCAUAUUCAUCGCUCAGAAUGUGGCCAGCCUGCAAGAACUUGGUGGCUCUGAGAAACUGCUGAGAGUGUGCCUGAACCUCCCAUACUUUUUGCGAUACAUAAAUCGAUUUCAGGAUGCAGUGUCGGCCAACUCAUUUUUUAUUAUGCCAGCCACAGUGGCGGAUGCCACUGCUGUUCGCAAUGGAUUUCACUCGCUGGUAAUAGAUGUGACCAUGGCACUGGAUACUCUGUCUCUGCCUGUACUGGAGCCCCUGACACCCACGCGUCUCCAAGAUGUGACUGUUCUUGCUCUCAGCUGUCUCUACGCAGGUGUGAGUGUGGCAACUUGCAUGGCCAUCCUACACGUGGGUAGCACUCAGCAGGUACGAACUGGGUCAACAAGUUCCAAAGAAGAAGAUUAUGAAAAUGAUGCUGCUACUAUUGUACAGAAAUGUCUUGAAAUCUAUGAAAUGAUUGGGCAAGCCAUCAGCAAUUCACGCCGUGCAGGGGGUGAGCAUUAUCAGAACUUCCAGCUGCUCGGGGCUUGGUGUUUGCUAAACAGCCUCUUCCUCAUCUUGAACCUCAGCCCCACAGCCUUGGCUGAUAAGGGAAAAGAGAAGGAUCCAUUGGCUGCUCUUCGCGUCAGAGACAUUAUUGCUCGUACUAAGGAAGGCGUUGGGUCUCCUAAACUAGGACCUGGGAAAGGGCAUCAAGGUUUUGGUGUUCUGUCAGUGGUGCUAGCAAAUCAUGCUAUCAAAUUGCUGUCAUCACUCUUUCAAGAUCUGCAAGUGGAGGCCUUGCACAAGGGCUGGGAGAGUGAUGGUCCGCCAGCAGUGCUGGAUAUCAUGGCUCAAAGCACAUCCAUCCAGAGAAUUCAGCGGCUGAUAGAUUCUGUACCACUCACUAAUUUGCUGCUGACUUUGCUGUCUACUUCCUACAGAAAGGCUUGUGUCUUGCAGCGUCAGAGGAAGGGCUCCAUGAGCAGUGAUGCAAGUGCCUCCACUGAUUCUAAUACUUACUACGAGGAUGAUUUUAGCAGCACCGAGGAGGACAGCAGCCAAGAUGACGAUAGCGAACCAAUCCUUGGGCAAUGGUUUGAAGAGACAAUCUCUCCAAGCAAAGAGAAAGUGGCCCCGCCGCCACCCCCUCCACCACCGCCUCUGGAGAGCUCGCCUAGAGUGAAAAGCCCUAACAAACAGACUGCUGGAGAGAACGGGAACAUCCUGGCCAGCCGCAAAGAUCCAGAGUUGUUUUUGAGCUUAGCUUCAAACAUUUUGAACUUUAUCACGACUUCUAUGCUGAACUCCAGGAAUAACUUCAUUCGCAACUACCUGAGCGUGUCUCUGUCAGAACAGCACAUGGCUACGCUGGCUAGCAUCAUCAAAGAGGUGGAUAAGGACGGGCUUAAGGGCACGUCAGAUGAGGAGUUUGCUGCUGCGCUGUAUCACUUCAACCAUUCUUUGGUGACCUCAGAUCUUCAGUCCCCUGCCUUGCAGAACACACUUCUUCAGCAGCUGGGAGUGGCCCCUUUUUCUGAAGGUCCAUGGCCUCUCUACAUCCAUCCUCAAAGUUUGUCGGUGCUUUCACGGCUUCUCCUGAUUUGGCAGCAUAAAGCCACUGCCCAGGGAGAUCCUGAUGUUCCAGAAUGCCUUAAAGUUUGGGAAAGGUUUGUGGGCACACUGAAGCAAAAUGCCUUGCAGGGGACUCUUCCUGGUGACACAGAAGAUCUGAACGUUGAACAUCUCCAGCUGCUGCUGCUUAUUUUUCACAAUUUCUCUGAGAGGGGCCGCAGAUCUAUCAUGAUGCUCUGCAUCCAGACAAUUGUGGAGCUGACAGUGAACAUGGAUACUCAGCAAUGUUCUGUGCCACUUAUCGUGGCACGUCUGCUCUUGGUGUUUGACUACCUGCUCCAUCAGUAUUCCAAGGCCCCCAUGUACCUAUUUGAACAGGUGCAAUACAAUUUGCUGACUCCACCCAUUGGCUGGGUGAGUGGAUCCCAGGACAGUAGCAGACGAACGUCUGUCCCACUUUAUCAUGCGUUUAAAGAAGUGGAAGAAAACUGGACCAAACACUGUUCAUCAGACGCAGUUCCACAGCCCAGAUUCUACUGCAUCCUAUCUCUAGAAGCUUCUGAAGAUGAUCUGAACCGUCUAGAUAGCACGGUUUGUGAGGUCCUUUUCUCUAGGACUAUGAAGUAUGAUGAGCUUUACACAGCCCUGACUUCAUUACUUGCAGCUGGAUCACAGUUUGAUACACUCAGGAGGAAAGAGAACAAAAAUGUCACUGCACUGGAAGCCUGUGCACUUCAGUACUACUUCUUGAUAUUGUGGCGGAUACUAGGGAUUUUGCCUCCAUCCAAAAACUACAUGAAUCAAUUGGCUACGAACACACCAGAGAUGAGUGAAUGUGAUAUUUUACACACGUUGCGCUGGUCUUCCCGGCUGCGAAUCACAUCUUAUGUCACAUGGAUCAAGGAUCACCUUACCAAGCAGGGCAUGAAAGCUGACCACGCUGCUUCUCUCAUUGAGUUGGCCUCCAGCAAGUGCAGCUCAGUGAAGUAUGAUGUGGAAAUAGCAGAGGAAUACUUUGCGCGACAGAUAUCUUCUUUCUGUGGUGUUGAUUGCACAACUAUUCUCCAACUGCACGAAGUUCCCAGUUUACAGUCCAUUUACACCCUUGAUGCUGCAAUUUCCAAGAUUCAGGUUUCUCUAGAUGAGCACUUUUCCAAGCUAGCUGCAGAAACUGAUCCACAAAAGUCUUCAGAGAUAACCAAGAACCUCCUGCCUGCUACGCUACAGCUUAUUGACACUUACGCUACGUUUACCAGAUCUUACUUGCUACGGAGCCUCUCUGAAGAGGGCUCCACUGAGAACAAACCCUCUGAAGAGAAGCUACGAGGUUAUGCUGCUGUCUUGGCCAUCGGAUCCAGCCGUUGCAAGUCUAAUACUCUAGGUCCAACACUCGUUCAGAACUUGCCAUCAGCUGUGCAGACAUUGUGUGAAUCAUGGAACAACAUUCAUACAAAUGAGUUUCCCAACAUUGGCUCAUGGCGCAACGCCUUUGCGAAUGACACGAUCCCCGCAGAAAGCUACAUCAGUGCAGUUCAGGCCGCCCACCUCGGUACUCUGUGCAGCCAAAGCCUACCUCUUGCAGCUUCCCUAAAGCACACCCUUCUCUCCCUGGUCAGACUCACUGGGGAUCUCAUUGUCUGGUCAGAUGAUUUGAACCCACCACAGGUGAUUCAUUCCCUACUGCCCCUCCUUUUGGAGACCAGCACAGAGAGCGUGGCAGAAAUAAGCAGCAACUCCCUCGAAAGGAUCUUGGGCCCUGCAGAAUCAGAUGAAUUCCUGGCACGUGUUUAUGAAAAAUUGAUCACAGGAUGCUACAACAUACUGGCCCAUCACUCUGAUCCAAACAGUGGCCUGGAUGAGUCCAUCUUGGAGGAAUGUUUGCAGCAUCUGGAGAAACAGCUGGAGAGCAGCCAGGCCCGAAAAGCCAUGGAGGAAUUCUUUUCAGAAAGUGGAGAACUGGUCCAGAUCAUGAUGGCAACAGCCAAUGAAAACCUCUCGGCGAAGUUCUGUAACAGGGUGCUGAAAUUCUUCACCAAGCUCUUCCAGCUCACUGAGAAGAGUCCCAACCCCAGCCUGCUCCGACUUUGUGGCUCUUUGGCUCAACUGGCUUGUGUGGAGCCUGUACGUCUCCAGGCCUGGUUAACCAGGAUGACCAUGUCCCCACCCAAAGAUUCAGAUCAGCUGGAUGUUGUGCAAGAGAACAGGCAACUGCUGCAACUCCUAACAACUUACAUUGUUCGGGAAAACAGCCAAGUCGGAGAAGGCGUGUGCACUGUUCUACUGAGUACUCUAAUACCAAUGGCAACAGAAAUGUUGGCCAACGGCGAUGGCACGGGUUUUCCUGAACUGAUGGUCGUGAUGGCAACUUUAGCUAGUGCAGGACAAGGUGCAGGACACCUCCAGCUUCAUGGUGCUGCUGUUGAUUGGCUAGGCCGAUGCAAGAAAUACCUGUCACAAAAGAAUGUAGUAGAAAAAAUGAAUGCUAACGUCAUGCAAGGGAAGCACGUCACUAUCCUGGAGUGUACGUGCCAUAUUGUCUCUUACCUGGCCGAUGUCACUAAUGCACUGAGCCAGACCAGCGGCCAAGGACCGAGUCACCUUUCUGUUGAUGGAGAGGAACGGGCGAUUGAGGUGGAUUCGGACUGGGUGGAAGAGUUGGCAGUGGAGGAGGAGGACUCUCAAGCUGAAGAUUCGGAUGAAGAUUCUCUUUGUAAUAAACUCUGUACCUUCACCAUCACACAGAAAGAAUUCAUGAAUCAACAUUGGUAUCACUGUCACACUUGCAAGAUGGUUGAUGGGGUUGGUGUUUGCACCGUUUGUGCUAAAGUUUGUCACAAGGAUCAUGAGAUUUCUUAUGCCAAAUACGGAUCGUUCUUCUGCGACUGUGGAGCCAAGGAAGAUGGCAGUUGCCUGGCUUUGGUGAAGAGAACUCCCAGCAGUGGUAUGAGCUCUACCAUGAAAGAAUCCGCCUUCCAGAGCGAGCCCAGAGUGCCCGAGAGUGUCAUUCGACAUGCAAGCACCUCUCCUGCAGAGAAAGCCAAGGUCACCAUCAGUGAGGGGAAAGGCCCUGAUGAAGAAAAACCCAAGAAGAGCAGCCUGUGUAGAAACGUUGAGGGCUGUCGAGAGGAAUUGCAGUCCCAGGCCAACUUCUCCUUUGCACCUUUGGUGCUGGAGAUGCUGAAUUUCCUGAUGGAUGCCAUUCAGAUAAACUUCCAGCAAGCUUCAGCCAUGGGGAGCAGCAGUCGUGCACAGCAAGCUCUCAAUGAGCUGCAUACUUUGGACAAGUCAGUAGAAAUGACAGAUCAGUUGAUGGUCCCAACUCUCGGCUCUCAAGAAGGUGCUUUUGAGAACGUCCGCAUGAACUACAGUGGUGACCAGGGCCAGACGAUCCGGCAGCUGAUCAGCGCUCAUGUGCUGAGGCGGGUGGCGAUGUGUGUGCUGUCGUCCCCGCACGGACGUCGGCAGCACCUGGCUGUGAGUCAUGAAAAGGGCAAGAUUACAGUCCUUCAGCUCUCAGCGUUGCUGAAACAAGCAGACUCCAGCAAAAGAAAAUUGACCCUUACUCGCCUUGCAUCUGCACCCGUUCCAUUUACUGUACUGAGCCUAACCGGAAAUCCCUGCAAGGAGGAUUACCUGGCUGUGUGUGGACUGAAAGACUGCCACGUGUUGACAUUCAGCAGCUCUGGAUCAGUCUCUGAUCAUUUGGUACUUCAUCCCCAACUAGCCACGGGAAAUUUCAUCAUUAAAGCUGUGUGGCUGCCAGGAUCUCAAACAGAGCUUGCUAUUGUGACUGCAGAUUUUGUGAAGAUUUAUGAUCUCUCUGUAGAUGCCUUGAGUCCAACUUUCUAUUUCCUUCUACCGAGUUCCAAAAUCAGGGAUGUCACUUUCCUUUUUAACGAGGAGGGGAAGAACAUAAUAGUGAUCAUGUCCUCUGCUGGGUACAUCUAUACGCAGCUCAUGGAAGAGGCGAGCAGUGCCCAGCAUGGCCCUUUCUACGUCACCAAUGUGCUUGAAGUCAGUCAUGAGGACCUAAAGGACAGUAAUGGCCAGGUAGCAGGAGGAGGUGUGUCCGUGUAUUACUCCCAUGUGCUACAGAUGUUGUUCUUCAGUUACUGCCAAGGCAAAUCCUUUGCAGCCACCAUCAGCCGGGCCAAUCUGGAAGUACAGCGGCUAUUCCCAAUUAACAUAAAGAGUUCAAAUGGUGGGAGUAAGACUUCACCGGCACUGUGUCAGUGGUCUGAGGUGAUGAACCAUCCCGGCUUGGUGUGCUGUGUUCAACAAACCACGGGUGUCCCACUGGUGGUGAUGGUGAAGCCGGACACCUUUCUCAUCCAGGAGAUUAAAACCUUGCCAGCCAAAGCAAAGAUUCAGGACAUGGUGGCCAUCCGUCACACAGCCUGCAACGAGCAGCAGAGAACCACUAUGAUCCUCCUGUGCGAAGAUGGCAGCCUGAGGAUCUACAUGGCCAAUGUAGAGAAUACCUCCUACUGGCUCCAGCCCUCUCUCCAACCUAGCAGCGUCAUCAGCAUCAUGAAGCCAGUUCGCAAGCGCAAGGCAGCUGCUAUUACAACUCGCACAUCCAGCCAAGUGAACUUCCCUAUUGACUUCUUUGAACACAACCAGCAACUCACAGAUGUGGAGUUUGGAGGCAAUGACCUGCUGCAGGUUUACAAUGCUCAGCAGAUAAAGCACCGACUCAAUUCCACUGGCAUGUAUGUGGCCAACACAAAGCCUGGGGGUUUCACCAUUGAAGUGACGAACAAUAACAGCACGAUGGUGAUGACAGGCAUGCGGAUCCAGAUUGGCACACAAGCGAUAGAGAGAGCGCCCUCAUACUUGGAGAUCUUUGGCCGCACCAUGCAGCUGAACAUGACCAGGGCUCGUUGGUUUGAUUUCCCUUUCACUCGCGAGGAGGCCUUGCAGGCUGACAAAAAACUAACCAUCUUCAUUGGGGCUUCUGUGGAUCCUGCUGGAGUCACAAUGAUGGAUUCCAUAAAAAUUUAUGGCAAAACCAAAGAACAGUUUGGAUGGCCCGAUGAGCCCCCUGAAGAUUUCCCAUCUGCUUCAGUGAGCAACGUUUGUCCUCCAAACCUGAAUCAAGGGAAUGGCACUGGAGACACGGAGUCGGCUACCCCUGCUGCUGCCAGUGGGACUGUCCUGGAGAGUUCUGAAACUGAGUCCCUAACCACCCUGGACCGGCUAGUAGUGAGUUCUUUAGAAGCGCUGGAAAGCUGCUUUGCUGUAGGACCAGUCAACGAGAAGGAGAAGAAUAAGGUGGCAGCUCAGGAGCUGGCUACUAUGCUGCUGUCCAUGCCAGCUCCUUCCAGCGUCCAGCAGCAAACCAAGAGCCUCUUGGCUAGCUUGCACACCAGCCGCUCAGCUUACCACAACCACAAGGAUCAAGCAUUGCUAAGUAAAGCCAUUCAGUAUUUGAGUUCCUCAACUAAAGAAGGAAAGGACCUUGAUCCUGAAGUAUUUCAGAGGCUGGUCAUCACUGCUCGAUCCAUUGCUAUUAUGAGACCCAACAAUCUGGUCCACUAUACUGAAUCAAAGCUGCCACAGUUGGAAACAGAGAGUGAAGAAGGGCAAGAGGCCCAGAAACAUGCUGAAGGAGAUGGCUGCACAUUUAUUACCCAGCUGGUUAACCACUUCUGGAAGCUACAUGCAUCAAAACCCAAAAACGCCUUCCUUGCCCCUGCCUGCCUGCCAGGUCUCACUCACGUUGAAGCCACGGUCAAUGCUUUGGUGGAUAUUAUCCAUGGAUACUGCACAUGUGAACUGGAUUGUAUCCAUACAGCAUCCAAGAUCUACAUGCAGAUGUUACUUUGCCCGGAUCCUGCAGUGAGCUUUUCUUGCAAACAAGCUUUGAUCAGAGUGCUGAGGCCAAGGAACAAGCGGAGACAUGUCACCUUGCCAUCCUCCCCUCGGAGCAAUACUCCUAUGGGAGAUAAGGAUGAUGAUGACGAUGAUGAUGCAGAAGACAAACUGCAGAGUUCUGGGAUAGCAAAUGGCGAGCAUAUCCGACAAGAAAGCCAGGAGCAAAGCGAAGUUGAUCAUGGGGACUUCGAGAUGGUGUCUGAAUCUAUGGUUCUGGAGACUUCUGAAAAUGUGAAUAAUGGCAACCCUUCUCCCCUGGAGGCUCUUCUGGCUGGAGCAGAGGGAUUCCCUCCUAUGCUGGAUAUUCCUCCGGAUGCAGAUGAUGAAACAAUGGUGGAAUUGGCCAUUGCCCUGAGCCUACAACAAGAUCAGCAAGGGAGCAGCAGUAGUGCACUUGGACUUCAGAGCUUAGGACUGUCUGGCCAAGCACCCAGCUCUUCUUCUCUUGAUGCCGGAACGCUCUCAGAUACAACAGCAUCAGCUCUCUUUAUUCUCUUAGCUCCAGCGUCUGAUGAUGAAGGCAGCACAGCUGCAACAGACGGCUCGACUCUUCGGACUUCACCUGCAGACCAUGGUGGGAGCGUGGGCUCUGAGAGCGGUGGCAGCGCAGUGGACUCCGUAGCUGGUGAGCACAGUGUGUCUGGCCGUAGCAGUGCCUAUGGGGACACGACAGCUGAGGGCCACCCUGCGGGACCAGGCAGCGUCAGCUCAAGCACGGGAGCUAUCAGCACUACCACAGGCCAGCAAGAGGGAGAUGGUUCAGAAGGGGAAGGGGAGGCAGAGGGAGACGUCCACACCAGCAACAGGCUCCACAUGGUUCGACUGAUGUUGCUGGAGAGGCUGCUGCAAAACUUACCUCAGCUGAGGAACGUUGGAGGAGUCCGGGCCAUUCCUUAUAUGCAGGUUAUUCUGAUGCUCACAACAGACCUAGAUGGAGAUGAUGAGAAAGAUAAGGGAGCUUUAGAUAACCUCCUGUCCCAGCUGAUUGCAGAACUGUGCAUGGACAAAAAGGAUGUGUCUAAGAAAAAUGAACGUUCUCCUGUGAAUGAAGUGCACUUGGUGGUAAUGAGGCUGCUUAGCGUGUUCAUGUCCAGAACUAAGUCAGGAUCCAAGUCUUCCAUUUGCGAGUCUUCCUCCCUCAUCUCUAGUGCUACUGCUGCUGCAUUGUUGAGCUCUGGUGCUGUUGACUACUGUCUGCAUGUGCUGAAGUCUUUGCUGGAGUACUGGAAAAGCCAGCAGAACGACGAGGAGCCUGUAGCCACCAGCCAGCUCCUGAAACCUCACACCACUUCUUCUCCACCUGACAUGAGCCCUUUUUUCCUCCGCCAAUAUGUGAAGGGUCAUGCUGCAGAUGUUUUCGAGGCCUACACUCAGCUCCUGACAGAGAUGGUACUGCGCCUGCCCUACCAGAUCAAGAAGAUUGCAGACACAAACUCCCGCAUUCCACCUCCUAUCUUUGAUCACUCCUGGUUUUACUUUUUGUCUGAGUACCUGAUGAUCCAGCAGACUCCGUUCGUGCGCCGCCAAGUCCGCAAGCUUUUGCUCUUUAUCUGCGGAUCAAAGGAUAAAUACCGUCAGCUCAGAGACCUUCACACCUUGGACUCUCACGUUCGUGGAAUCAAAAAGCUCCUGGAAGAGCAAGGCAUUUUCCUUCGUGCCAGCGUGGUCACAGCAAGUUCAGGCUCUGCCCUGCAGUACGAUACAUUGAUCAGCUUGAUGGAACAUUUAAAGGCUUGUGCAGAGAUUGCCACACAGCGAACAGUAAACUGGCAGAAAUUCUGCAUUAAAGAUGACUCGGUUCUCUAUUUCCUCCUUCAAGUCAGCUUCCUAGUAGAUGAAGGAGUGUCGCCAGUUCUCCUGCAGCUGCUGUCUUGUGCUCUGUGUGGCAGCAAAGUUCUGUCUGUGGCUUCAUCCGCUGUAUCAUCAAGCACCUCUUCCACCUCUGCUCCUGCAGCAUCAGGCUCCGGGCAGCCAGCAGCACAGAGCAAAUCCUCCACUAAAAAGAGCAAGAAAGAAGAAAAGGAAAAGGAGCGAGAGGGUGAGAGCUCGGGCAGCCAGGAAGAUCAGCUGUGUACCGCUCUGGUGAACCAGUUGAACAAGUUUGCUGAUAAGGAGACCCUCAUUCAGUUCCUGCGGUGCUUCUUACUGGAGUCCAACUCGUCCUCCGUGAGAUGGCAGGCCCACUGCCUCGCGCUCCACAUCUACAGGAACUCUAACAAGUCUCAGCAAGAAUUACUGUUGGAUCUCAUGUGGUCAAUCUGGCCAGAACUUCCAGCCUAUGGAAGAAAGGCUGCCCAGUUUGUAGAUCUCCUGGGAUACUUCUCUCUGAAAACACAGCAGACUGAGAAAAAGUUGAAGGAAUACUCCCAAAAGGCCGUGGAGAUCCUCCGGACUCAAAACCACAUCCUUACCAACCACCCUAACUCCAACAUUUACAACACGCUGUCUGGGCUGGUGGAAUUUGAUGGCUACUACCUGGAGAGCGAUCCUUGCCUUGUCUGCAACAAUCCAGAGGUGCCCUUCUGUUACAUCAAGCUUUCCUCCAUUAAAGUGGACACGCGGUAUACUACCACCCAGCAAGUGGUGAAGCUAAUUGGCAGCCACACCAUCAGCAAAGUGACGGUGAAGAUAGGAGACCUGAAACGAACCAAAAUGGUGCGAACCAUCAACCUCUAUUACAACAACAGGACAGUACAAGCCAUAGUGGAGCUGAAAAACAAGCCGGCUCGUUGGCACAAAGCUAAAAAAGUCCAGCUGACCCCAGGCCAGACGGAGGUGAAGAUUGAUUUGCCACUGCCCAUUGUGGCUUCAAACCUGAUGAUUGAAUUUGCAGAUUUCUAUGAGAAUUACCAGGCUUCCACGGAGACCCUGCAGUGCCCCCGGUGUAGCGCAUCCGUCCCAGCCAACCCGGGGGUGUGCGGGAACUGCGGCGAAAACGUGUACCAGUGCCACAAGUGCAGAUCCAUUAAUUACGACGAGAAAGAUCCUUUCCUUUGCAAUGCCUGUGGGUUCUGUAAAUAUGCUCGUUUUGACUUCAUGUUGUAUGCCAAGCCUUGCUGUGCAGUGGAUCCCAUAGAAAAUGAAGAGGAUCGAAAGAAGGCAGUAACAAAUAUCAACGCUCUCCUGGACAAGGCUGACAGAGUGUAUCACCAGCUAAUGGGACACCGACCACAGCUGGAAAACCUUCUGUGUAAGGUGAAUGAGGCGGCUCCAGAAAAGCCACAGGAUGAAUCUGGUAGUAGUGGAGGGAUAAGUUCUACCUCAGCUAGUGUGAAUAGAUACAUACUUCAGUUAGCCCAGGAGUACUGUGGUGACUGCAAGAACUCUUUUGACGAACUUUCCAAAAUCAUCCAGAAAGUGUUUGCCUCUCGAAAAGAACUCCUGGAAUACGAUCUCCAACAGAGAGAGGCAGCAACGAAGUCCUCACGAACCACAGUCCAACCCACGUUUACUGCCAGCCAGUACCGUGCCUUGUCUGUUUUAGGCUGCGGCCACACAUCAUCAACUAAAUGCUAUGGCUGUGCCUCAGCCGUCACCGAACACUGCAUAACAUUGCUUCGGGCUUUGGCGACCAACUCUGCCAUCAGGCAUAUCCUUGUGUCCCAGGGCCUUAUCCGAGAGCUCUUUGACUACAACUUGCGCCGGGGCGCAGCCACCAUGCGGGAGGAGGUCCGUCAGCUCAUGUGCCUUCUGACCAGGGACAAUCCAGAGGCCACGCAACAAAUGAAUGACUUAAUCAUUGGGAAGGUUUCUGCAGCUCUGAAGGGACACUGGGCAAAUCCAGACCUGGCUAGCAGCCUCCAGUAUGAAAUGUUGCUGCUGACAGAUUCCAUCUCGAAGGAAGACAGCUGCUGGGAGCUCCGACUACGCUGUGCUCUCAGCCUCUUUCUAAUGGCAGUGAACAUUAAGACUCCAGUGGUUGUUGAAAACAUCACCCUCAUGUGCCUGCGCAUUCUUCAAAAGCUGAUCAAGCCGCCUGCUCCAACCAGCAAGAAAAACAAGGAUGUGCCUGUGGAUGCUCUCACCACUGUGAAGCCUUACAGCAAUGAAAUCCAUGCGCAAGCUCAGCUGUGGCUCAAGAGGGACCCCAAAGCAUCAUACGAAGCUUGGAAAAAGUGCCUCCCUGCCAGAGGUAUAGAUGCCAAUGGGAAAUCUCCCAGCAAAGCUGAGCUUCACCAGCUCUACUUGUCAGAAAAAUAUGUCUGGAAAUGGAAACAGUUCAUGAGUCGCCGUGGGAAGAGAACUUGCCCUCUGGAUCUCAAGCUGGGACACAACAAUUGGCUGCGACAGGUGCUGUUUACUCCUGCCACUCAAGCUGCAAGGCAGGCUGCGUGUACUAUUGUGGAAGCUCUGGCUACCAUCCCCAGCCGAAAGCAGCAGGUCCUUGAUCUCUUGACGAGCUACUUGGAUGAGCUGAGCAUUGCUGGCGAGUGUGCCGCCGAGUACCUGGCACUGUAUCAGAAACUCAUCAAACCGGCCCACUGGAAGGUCUACCUGGCAGCCAGGGGGGUUCUGCCCUACAUUGGCAGCCUCAUCACUAAGGAAAUAGCUCGUUUACUUGCCUUGGAGGAAGCAACGCUCAGCACUGAUUUGCAGCAGGGAUAUGCCUUGAAGAGUCUCACAGGUCUUCUCUCUUCCUUCGUGGAGGUGGAGUCCAUCAAACGACACUUCAAAAGCCGCCUGGUGGGUACAGUCCUGAAUGGUUACCUGUGUUUGAGGAAGUUAGUGGUACAGAGGACAAAGCUGAUCGAUGAAACCCAGGACAUGCUGCUGGAGAUGCUAGAAGAUAUGACAACAGGCACAGAAUCCGAAACCAAAGCAUUUAUGGCGGUGUGUAUAGAGACUGCAAAACGUUACAGCCUUGAUGACUACAGGACUCCAGUCUUCAUCUUUGAGAGACUAUGCAGUAUUAUCUAUCCUGAAGAGAAUGAAGUGACCGAGUUCUUUGUAACUCUGGAGAAAGAUCCCCAGCAGGAAGACUUCUUACAGGGCAGAAUGCCAGGAAAUCCCUACAGCAGUAAUGAGCCUGGCAUCGGGCCACUCAUGAGGGACAUCAAGAACAAAAUCUGUCAGGACUGUGACCUGGUGGCUCUGCUGGAGGAUGACAGUGGAAUGGAGCUUUUGGUGAACAAUAAGAUCAUCAGUUUGGAUCUGCCUGUGGCUGAGGUCUACAAGAAAGUGUGGUGUCCCACGAAUGAGGGGGAGCCGAUGAGGAUCAUUUACCGCAUGCGAGGGUUACUGGGAGAUGCAACUGAAGAAUUCAUCGAGUCUCUCGAUUCCACUACUGAUGAAGAGGAGGAUGAGGAAGAAGUUUAUAAGAUGGCAGGUGUCAUGGCCCAGUGUGGAGGCUUGGAGUGCAUGCUCAACAGACUGACUGGAAUCAAGGACUUCAAACAAGGCCGGCACCUUUUAACCGUGCUGUUAAAACUGUUUAGUUACUGUGUGAAGGUGAAAAUAAAUCGUCAGCAGUUGGUCAAGCCGGAGAUGAACACUUUGAACGUCAUGCUGGGAACUCUUAACUUGGCUCUGGUGGCUGAGCAGGAAAGUAAGGACAGCGGAGGAGCGGCCGUGGCAGAACAAGUGCUUAGUAUAAUGGAGAUCAUACUGGAUGAAUCCAAUGCAGAACCUCUGAGCGAGGACAAGGGUAACCUCCUCCUAACUGGUGACAAAGAUCAGCUGGUAAUGUUGCUUGAUCAGAUUAACAGCACUUUUGUCCGUUCCAAUCUCAGCGUCUUGCAAGGCCUAUUACGCAUCAUCCCUUACCUGUCCUUCGGGGAAAUGGAGAAAAUGCAGAUUCUGGUUGAUCGAUUCAAGCCCUACUGUAACUUUGAUAAGUAUGAUGAGGAGCACAGUGGAGAUGAUAAAGUUUUCCUAGACUGCUUCUGUAAAAUAGCAGCAGGAAUAAAGAACAACAGCAACGGCCAUCAGCUGAAAGAUCUCAUCCUUCAGAAAGGAAUUACGCAGAAUGCCCUUGACUACAUGAAAAAGCACAUUCCCAGUGCAAAGAAUUUGGACGCAGACAUAUGGAAGAAAUUCUUAUCUCGACCUGCGCUUCCUUUUAUCCUGCGCCUGCUCCGAGGACUUGCCACGCAGCACCCUGCUACGCAGGUGCUAAUAGGUACAGACUCCAUUACCAACCUGCACAAACUGGAGCAGGUGUCUAGUGAUGAAGGGAUUGGGACGUUAGCGGAGAAUCUUCUGGAGGCACUCAGGGAACAUCCAGAGGUGAAUAAGAAGAUUGAUGCUGCCCGGAAGGAGACACGUGCAGAGAAGAAGCGUAUGGCCAUGGCAAUGAGACAGAAGGCCUUGGGCACUCUGGGGAUGACGACGAAUGAGAAGGGUCAGGUAGUAACCAAGACCGCGCUGCUUAAACAGAUGGAGGAACUUAUAGAAGAACCAGGUCUGACUUGCUGCAUCUGCCGGGAAGGAUACAAGUUUCAGCCUACAAAAGUCCUAGGUAUUUAUACUUUCACCAAACGUGUUGCACUAGAGGAGUUUGAGAACAAGCCCCGAAAACAGCAGGGAUACAGCACAGUCUCUCACUUCAACAUUGUCCACUACGAUUGUCACCUUGCAGCCGUAAGACUUGCCCGUGGCCGUGAAGAAUGGGAGAGUGCAGCCCUACAAAAUGCCAACACCAAGUGUAAUGGGCUCCUGCCAGUCUGGGGACCUCAUGUGCCAGAGUCUGCUUUUGCUACUUGCUUAGCGCGACACAACACGUACCUCCAGGAAUGCACAGGGCAGCGGGAACCCACCUACCAGCUCAAUGUCCAUGACAUUAAACUGCUAUUUCUCCGUUUUGCGAUGGAGCAAUCAUUCAGCGUAGAUACUGGAGGAGGAGGAAGGGAGAGCAACAUACACCUCAUUCCGUACAUAAUCCACACGGUGCUCUACGUCCUCAACACAACUCGAGCAACUUCGAGGGAGGAGAAAAACCUCCAGAGCUUCAUGGAGCACCCCAAAGAGAAGUGGGUGGAGAGUGCCUACGAGGUGGACGGGCCCCAUUACUACACCGUGCUGGCGCUGCACAUCUCUCCCCCCGAGAAGUGGAAAGCCAUGCGAGUGGAGAUCCUCAAGAGGCUCCUCGUCACCUCCCACGCGCGAGUGGUGUCACCAGGGGGAGCCAGCAGACUGGCAGAUAAGACAGUGAAGGAAUACGCAACGUACCGCUCUGGCCUUCUCUUCUGGGCCCUAGUAGAUCUCAUUUACAACAUGUUCAAGAAGGUGCCUACCAGUAACACAGAGGGAGGCUGGUCCUACUCUCUUGCUGAAUUCAUACGACACAAUGACAUGCCAAUACACGAAGCUGCAGACAAGGCCCUGAAAACCUUCCAGGAGGAGUUCAUGCCAGUUGAAACGUUUUCCGAGUUUUUGGAUGUGGCUGGGCUCUUAUCAGAAAUCAAUGAUCCCGACAGCUUCCUCAAGGAUCUUUUGAACUCCAUCCCCUGAGCCGCCAGCACCGAGAAACAUUGGGCAGAGACUACACUAGCUUGCCUUCCACCCCUUUGUGUUCCUCCUGGUGCAGUCUGUCCCUUCCCUGAGGAGUGCUGCAGUUUUUUUGGGUUUUGUUUUGGGUUGGUUUUUUUUUUUUUUAUUUUCUACAAUUUUUUCUUCUUGGAGUGAUUUGGAAUUUAGAUUUGUUUUAUCUUGUAUUUCAGUGCUUCUAUCUGUAAAGCCUUGUGUAUUUGAGCUGGUUGAAAGAACUUGUACAGAGAGGAAUCUAAACCGAGCUCCUUCUCUCGGGGCUCAGAGCUGCUGCUCUUUCCGACCCACAGUCUGGACAAGGAGACACAGGAAACAAAAGGCUCGUGUGAGCGAGGAAGCAGCCUGACACUGUCUUUACCGAUCGUACAUGCAGAGCAGGUUUCCCCUUGCGGGACAUGAGCCUUAGAGACUCGUGGACUGCAAGGACAGCGUUUCCUUCCACCCCUUCUUCACCCGGGUGAGGGCAGCUGUCGUCUCCCCACACGCUUCGUGUUACCCCUCUCCGAGGCAUGUUGCGCAUCACGGUGUCCUUCCUGACCUGACUCUCACCAAGGCUGCGUUCAAAGCAAACGCGCAUGUUGUCGCUUCGGGUCGCAUAGUACGACGGCGACGUCACCUCUCGGAGGGAUGCUACUCACGUCCGAUUUAUUUUGCCUCUCUCUGGUAAAAUUUUCAGCUUCAGCAAAAUGCAUGGAAAAACCAGACACUGCGCGCUUCUUGAGUCGGCCGCUUGCCCCGGGAUAGUUUGCGUUUUGGUGUGCAUGCUCCGACCUGAGGCCACGUACCUGCUUCGGAUGCAGCCUUGCCUCUUCUCCCCCGGUUGUGCAUGCUGGUAACUUCCCUUUGCCACCAGUUCUGCUGUCCUGUAACCCAGCUGACACGUGGUUGAGCUGGAAUCUAAUAAAGCUUUCCCUGUCUUUCUCGUCUCUGUUUGAACUUGAAUUUCCGCAAUCCUAACGCA